rnacentral:rRNA from 1 species
GAAAGGGAAUGGGGUCAAUAUUCCCCAACCCGGACACGGAGAUCGGGUCUUCGGGCCCAAGUGUGGCGACACAACCGAACUCGGAGAAGUCGACGGAGGACCCGGGGAAGAGUUGUCUUUUCUUUGUAAGGGUUCGUGUCCCUGGAAUCGGCUCGUCCGGAGAUAGGGACGCUGUUCCCGUAAAAGCACCGCGGCUCUUGCGGUGUCCGGUCCGCCUCUGUCGGCCCUUGCAAAUCCGAGGGAGAUGGUGUGAUUUUCGUGCCGGACCGUACCCAUAUCCGCAGCAGGUCUCCAAGGU